GACGAACGCUGGCGGCGUGCUUAACACAUGCAAGUCGAACGGAAAGGCCCUGCUUUUGUGGGGUGCUCGAGUGGCGAACGGGUGAGUAACACGUGAGUAACCUGCCCAUGACUGUGGGAUAACUUCAGGAAACUGGGGCUAAUACCGGAUAGGAGCGCCUGCUGCAGGGGGGGGGUUGGAAAGUUUCGGCGGUGGGGGAUGGACUCGCGGCUUAUCAGCUGGUUGGUGGGGUAGUGGCUUACCAAGGCAUUGACGGGUAGCCGGCCUGGGAGGGUGACCGGCCACCUUGGUACUGCGAUACGGCCCAGACUCCUACGGGGGGCAGCAGUGGGGAAUAUUGCACAAUGGGCGGAAGCCUGAUGCAGCAACGCCGCGUGCGGGAUGACGGCCUUCGGGUUGUAAACCGCUUUCGCCUGUGACGAAGCGGGAGUGACGGUAAUGGGUAAAGAAGCACCGGCUAACUACGUG
rnacentral:rRNA from 1 species